GACGAACCGUGCAAACGUUAUUCGGAAUCACUGGGCUUAAAGCGCGUGUAGGCGGGACGGCACGUCGGUCGCUGAAAGCCCCCGGCUCAACCGGGGAAUGGGCGCCGAUACGACCGUCCUGGAGGAACGUAGGGGACCUGGAACUUCCGGUGGAGCGGUGAAAUGCGUUGAGAUCGGAAGGAACGCCCGUGGCGAAAGCGAGGUCCUGGACGUUUUCUGACGCUGAGACGCGAAAGCCAGGGGAGCGAACGGG
rnacentral:rRNA from 1 species